rnacentral:tRNA from 1 species
CGCGGGGUGGAGCAGUCUGGUAGCUCGUCGGGCUCAUAACCCGGAGGUCGUAGGUUCAAAUCCUACCCCCGCAA